GGGACUCUCCGUGGAGCUCCCACGGACUGAAAGAGCGUGCCCCCCAACCCGAACGAGCCCCGCCGGGGCCUUUGCAAAGGGCAGCAGUGGCCGUCGCUGCCCGUGCGGCUCCCGUGGCUGGCAGCCUGUGGCAGGGGCACUCUCGGGACUUCUCACGGGACGCCUGGUCCUUGGGCGUGCAGGGGUCAUGGGGGGUGACGGGGCCGCGGGAGCGCCGGGUUUUCGUAGAGCCCAGGUGCGCGGUGGUGCUUGCAUUCGAGAGGGAGGGGCGUGGUGCCGGACGAGGGGGGCGGCGAUGGCCCCGAGGGCACCGGGGCUGACGGGACCCCUCGCCCUUGCCCGCGUGUAGGAUGGAUAAGGUGGGGGAUGCCCUGGAGGAAGUGCUCAGCAAAGCCCUGAGUCAGCGCACGAUCACUGUCGGGGUGUACGAAGCGGCCAAGCUGCUCAACGUCGACCCCGAUAACGUGGUGUUGUGCCUGCUGGCGGCGGACGAGGACGACGACAGAGAUGUGGCUCUGCAGAUCCACUUCACCCUGAUCCAGGCGUUUUGCUGCGAGAACGACAUCAACAUCCUGCGCGUCAGCAACCCGGGCCGGCUGGCGGAGCUCCUGCUCUUGGAGACCGACGCUGGCCCCGCGGCGAGCGAGGGCGCCGAGCAGCCCCCGGACCUGCACUGCGUGCUGGUGAC
rnacentral:sRNA from 1 species